AUUGAACGCUGGCGGCAGGCCUAACACAUGCAAGUCGAGCGGAUGAAGGGAGCUUGCGCCUGGAUUCAGCGGCGGACGGGUGAGUAAUGCCUAGGAAUCUGCCUGGUAGUGGGGGAUAACGUCCGGAAACGGGCGCUAAUACCGCAUACGUCCUGAGGGAGAAAGUGGGGGGUCUUCGGACCUCACGCUAUCAGAUGAGCCUAGGUCGGAUUAGCUAGUUGGUGGGGUAAAGGCCUACCAAGGGGACGAUCCGUAACUGGUCUGAGAGGAUGAUCAGUCACACUGGAGCUGAGACACAGUCCAGACUCCUACGGGAGGCAGCAGUGGGGAAUAUUGGCCAAUGGGCGAAAGCCUGAUCCAGCCAUGCCGCGUGUGUGAAGAAGGUCUUCGGAUUGUAAGCACUUUAAGUUGGGAGGAAGGGCAGUAAGUUAAUACCUUGCUGUUUUGACGUUACCAACAGAAUAAGCACCGGCUAACUUCGUG
rnacentral:rRNA from 1 species